rnacentral:rRNA from 1 species
UCGAGCACGCGCGUGUGGCAUAUCAAUAAGCGGAGGAAAAGAAACUAACAAGGAUUCCCCUAGUAACGGCGAGUGAAGCGGGAAGAGCUCAAAUUUGAAAUCUUCAAGGUUCUACCUUGACGAAUUGUAGUUUAUAGAAUGUGUUUUCUGUUAGUAGGAGUAGGAAAAGUUCUUUGGAAUAGGACAUCAUAGAGGGUGAGAAUCCCGUAUUUGGUCAUUCCUCCUAGCGUUGUGAUACACUUUCAAAGAGUCGGAUUGUUUGGGAAUGCAGUCCAAAAUGGGUGGUAAAUUUCAUCUAAAGCUAAAUAUUGGCGAGAGACCGAUAGCGAACAAGUACCGUGAGGGAAAGAUGAAAAGAACUUUGAAAAGAGAGUUAAACAGUACGUGAAAUUGUCAAAAGGGAAGCGUUUGACACCAGUGUUGUUUUUCCGAAAAUCAAUUACGAAUGUUUUAUUUUUGAGGAGUUAUGACUUCAUCGGCUUGCUCCUUUCUUUACGAAACUUUCUUAAUGCACUUUUCGGUUAACAAGUCAACAUCAAUUUCUUUUGUUGUAAAAGGGUAUGAGGAAGGUGGCUUUCUUUUCGGAGAAAGUGUUUAUAGCCUUGUGCCUCCGCAAUCGGAGAGAUUGAGGUCUGCAGCGUAGAUCCUUCGGGGUUAGAUACGUUUGUGCUAAGUUAUAGCUUUUCAUAGACAACUUGUUGACUAUGUUUAGUCUUGUAGCUUACUCGCUGACGCUAUUUUACCUACGCUUAGGAUGUUGAUGUGAUACUGCGAGCA